rnacentral:tRNA from 1 species
UCGCGGUGCGGCGGGUGCUGACCGCGGCGCGGCGGCCCACCGCGAUGGUGUUCGACAACGACGUCAUGGCGAUCGCCGCGCUGGGCGUGGCCCA